CGGACGGGUGAGUAACGCGUGGGAAUCUACCCAGUAGUGGGGGACAACAGUUGGAAACGACUGCUAAUACCGCAUACGCCCUACGGGGGAAAGCAGGGGAUCUUCGGACCUUGUGCUAUUGGAUGAGCCCGCGUGAGAUUAGAUAGUUGGUGGGGUAAUGGCCUACCAAGUCUACGAUCUCUAGCUGGUCUGAGAGGAUGAUCAGCCACACUGGAACUGAGACACGGUCCAG
rnacentral:rRNA from 1 species